ensembl:snoRNA SNORD33 Small nucleolar RNA Z195/SNORD33/SNORD32 family
AUUGUCAGUGAUGUUUACGUCAGUAAAUAUUCGAGUUUAACGACCAUGAGAAUACUUUACAUGCACUACCAUCUGAGACAAC